GGUCUUGUGGUCUAGUGGUAUGAUUCUUGCUUAGGGUGCAAGAGGUCCCGUGUUCGAUCCACGGCAAGACCC